rnacentral:rRNA from 1 species
GACGGAGGAUGCAAGCAUUAUCCGGAAUGAUUGGGCGUAAAGCGUCUGCAGGUGGCAGUUCAAGUCUGCUGUCAAAGACCGGGGCUUAACUUCGGAAAGGCAGUGGAAACUGAACAGCUAGAGUAUGGUAGGGGCAGAGGGAAUUCCUGGUGUAGCGGUGAAAUGCGUAGAGAUCAGGAAGAACAUCGGUGGCGAAGGCGCUCUGCUGGACCAUAACUGACACUCAGGGACGAAAGCUAGGGGAGCGAAUGGG